rnacentral:rRNA from 1 species
AGUAACACGUGGGCAAUCUGCCCUGCACUCUGGGACAAGCCCUGGAAACGGGGUCUAAUACCGGAUACUGAUCGCCUUGGGCAUCCUUGGUGAUCGAAAGCUCCGGCGGUGCAGGAUGAGCCCGCGGCCUAUCAGCUUGUUGGUGAGGUAAUGGCUCACCAAGGCGACGACGGGUAGCCGGCCUGAGAGGGCGACCGGCCACACUGGGACUGAGACACGGCCCAGACUCCUACGGGAGGCAGCAGUGGGGAAUAUUGCACAAUGGGCGAAAGCCUGAUGCAGCGACGCCGCGUGAGGGAUGACGGCCUUCGGGUUGUAAACCUCUUUCAGCAGGGAAGAAGCGAAAGUGACGGUACCUGCAGAAGAAGCGCCGGCUAACUACGUGCCAGCAGCCGCGGUAAUACGUAGGGCGCGAGCGUUGUCCGGAAUUAUUGGGCGUAAAGAGCUCGUAGGCGGCUUGUCGCGUCGGUUGUGAAAGCCCGGGGCUUAACCCCGGGUCUGCAGUCGAUACGGGCAGGCUAGAGUUCGGUAGGGGAGAUCGGAAUUCCUGGUGUAGCGGUGAAAUGCGCAGAUAUCAGGA